rnacentral:rRNA from 1 species
UGGGGAAUAUUGGACAAUGGGCGAAAGCCUGAUCCAGCAAUGCCACGUGUGUGAAGAAGGCCUUCGGGUUGUAAAGCACUUUAGUUGGGGAGGAAGGUUUUAAGGUUAAUACCCUUAAAAUUUGACGUUACCCAAAGAAUAAGCACCGGCUAACUCCGUGCCAGCAGCCGCGGUAAUACGGAGGGUGCGAGCGUUAAUCGGAAUUACUGGGCGUAAAGCGCACGUAGGUGGCCAAUUAAGUCAGAUGUGAAAGCCCUGGGCUCAACCUGGGAACUGCAUUUGAUACUGGUUGGCUAGAGUAUGGUAGAGGGAAGAGGAAUUUCCGGUGUAGCGGUGAAAUGCGUAGAUAUCGGAAGGAACAUCAGUGGCGAAGGCGUCUUCCUGGACUAAUACUGACACUGAGGUGCGAAAGCGUGGGGAGCAAACAGGAUUAGAUACCCCCGUAGUCC